UAACAUUAGAGGCGACUGACAUGGCCUCUGCUUCAUGUUUGGCAUAACAUAAGGAGUAGAAUAGUUGUUAGCAAUUUCCUUGAUGCCUAUGGAUAUUACUUGGUCAUGUAUUUUAACCACUGUUUUCCUUCCACUAAACUUUCCAUUAAUUCUGUGAACUACCAGAAUGAAUGAGUGGCUUACCUUCCUUUUCAUAUCUCAGUGCUAUUAAAUAUAUAAUGAUAUAACCUAACCUUUCUGGAUUGAGAAGUAGUUUUAUUGGCCAAUUUAAUAUUUUUAUUUGUAUUGAAAAAUUAUGUUUUUGGUUUUAAUUAGCUUUUAACCUUAACUAUCAAAAUGAGAACAGUGUCUGAGUGAUAGCUCUGUGCGGCAUGUGUCACAUUUCAGUAAGCUUCUGUUUUUCAGAACCACCUCUCUGUGAUAAUUGGCUUGCGAGGAGAGAAACCCAUCAGCGCUGCUACACAUAUUUGCUGCCAUUUAUUUAUUUAUAUGUUAGAGAAAUCAUUAAUUUGUCUGCAUGUAUGUUUGCCAAUUAUUUUCCACAGAGGAGCUCCACACCGAGUGGGAGUGACAAAAUUGCUGAGUUCGAUGGGUUACCAUGUGGUGGCACUGGACUACAGAGGUUUUGGAGACUCCACCGGAGAGCCGACCGAGUCUGGCCUGACCACAGAUGCCCUGCAUGUGUACAACUGGGUCAAAGCUCGCAGCGGGGACAGCCUGGUGGUCAUCUGGGGACACUCUCUUGGCACUGGGUUAGCAGAAAAAACACAAA